CCCAAGCAGUACAAAGAAAGGUCAGUUUGAACUAUAUCGAGAAAAAAAACUGACUUGAUCAAAUUGACAGAAUGUAGUAAGGCAUUGUAGUCCAGCAGCUGUUUCACUUGGAUUUCGGUUACCAUAGACACAGCAACCAAAACCAACAACUCAAUUACUCCUUGUUUUUGUAAAUGUAAUGUUGCUACGUAAUUUGGACUUAUCGUGCAACCAGCACAACAAAUUUAGUCUAAUUUUGUUUUCUUUUUCAACACUAUUUAAAGAAAGAAUUACUUUUUCCACAUUAACCUUGUUGUUUUAUUUGCGACUAACACAAAUGCCCCCAUUUUGCAUUACUGGUGUAUUGCAUGAAGCCCAGAUCCCAGAGGAUUAUUAAGAAGAAAGAAAUGUUUUCAGAAGAAAAAGCAUGAGCCUUUUUUAUUUUUACUUCUGCAAAAAUUGGCUUUAUAGAUGGUUGUGUUUUUUUGGAUGGGUGGCUGGUUUUGGAGGGGAGGAGUGGGGGCACCCAUCACCCCAAACUGCUCUCUUGCUUGUUAAUGAUCACAUUCAAAGUGCCUUUAGCCUUGUUCUUUAAGAGCAGAUUAAAAGUGGUUCCACAGUUGUGAAAAUUAUUGACUGCAUUCUCUUGAUUGUGUCCCUUGAUAGCACAACUAAAUCAAAUCUGAAGAUUUCAAAGUUGUCUGAGGAGCGGCUCGUAAUGAGAAACCUCUUUGUUCUGUAGGAACGCCAGCCAGACAAGCAUUUUAGAGCUCGAUCAAUAUCCAAAAUGAGGAGAAAAAAAGUGAAGGCCUUCAGAGAAAUUUCUAAAGGUUUGGGUGACGCUGAAACCACAGAGGGACAGACUUGACGGUGUAGGAAAGCUUUAGGAGUCCAUGUUUGCAAUAGUUAUUCAGUGCUGUCACAGGCUGUUCGUCUCCUUCGCCUGCAGCUUCCUAACCGCACAGCCGGCCAGUUUAUGGCGGCCUUUUAUUAUGAUGUCAGCACUUUGCUUAAAGAGCAUUCAAUAUCUCCAGGAAGACGGUCGGAGCAACAUCAAUAGAAUAAUAGAGACAAGCACUGCACGACGAUUCCUCAGCAGGUCAGUUCAUUUGUUCAUUGAUUUAUUGGUUGCCGAGGACGUAAUUGAAUUAAGGAGCAGUGAAUACUACAACAGAACAGGUUGUUUGUUUUUUCCCGCAUCUUUUCCAAGGUGGCAUGAGGGAAAGCUUCCCUGCAUGACUCUCAUGCUCCACACAGGCCAAUAGACCAGCAUCAACUUUUCAGAAUUGCUUUACGGAAACAGAAAAUCUGAUUUUCUUUUUCACUCUCAUUAAAGAAAAAAGGAUUCAAAAAAGGUUCUAAAGCUAAAAACAAGACAUAAGGAAGCAUAUAGAAAGAAGUUCCAUUAGAGGCAACUUUAUCUUAAAGCAUAAAAAAGUAGGUUAGGAAGAAAUAGAUUUUAUGGAGACAUUUGUACCAAAAUCUCACAUAAUUAAUGAUGUUCAAAAGGACAGUGCAUACUGAGCUUUUACAUUUAUUUUAUUUGCUUUAUUAGUUUAUUUGACAGGGACAUUACACAUUUAAACGCAUCUCUACAAACUACAAGAUUUAUCAAAAGGCAAUUUUUCAUUUAUAGUCCCUGGACAGGUGGCAAAUUUGUCUACCUGAAAACUAUGUGAGGUUAACUCUCCUCUGAUCUUAACAUUCAACUUCACUGAAUUUAAAUCUAAAAUCUAUCGUGCAACAUGAAGCAACAUGUAUCUUAUAAUUUUAACUCCAUUUGUUUCAUUUCAGAGUGAAUAUGUACAGUGCAUCCAGAAAGUACCGUAUUUUCCGGAGUAUAAGUCGCACCUCUGUCCAAUCUAUUUAAAAAAAAAAAUGUGAUUUAUAGUCUGGAAAAUACAGUAUUCACAGUGCCCCACUUCUUCAAAAUUUUAUGUCACAGCUUUAUUUCAAAAUGGAUUAAAUCAGUUUUCUUUCUGAAAAAAUCUUUUAAAAAACUCCAUAAUGCCAAUGUGAAAAAAAGUUAUUUUGAAACUGUUGCUAAUUUAUUAAAAAUAAAAAAACUGAAAAAAAUAUAUAUACUUUUGGUGUGUGUGAAAUAAAGAGAGUUUGUGUGUCUAUUCUUCCUGGUGUUCAAACCCUUGAAUCAUUGACGGGUCAAAAAUGACCAAUAAGACAAUCAUUUUACUCUAGUGGUGUACAGCUCAGAUAUGAACAAACAUAAAAAAGCAUCACUUUUUCUA